GACCGUUUAGCUCAGCUGGUCAGAGCGUGGCGCUAGUAAUGCUGAGGUCAUGGGUUUGAUCCCCAAUAUGGUCA
rnacentral:tRNA from 1 species